UUACCUACGGGACGCAGCAGUGGGGGAUAUUGCACAAUGGGGGAAACCCUGAUGCAGCGACGCCGCGUGAGCGAUGAAGUAUUUCGGUAUGUAAAGCUCUAUCAGCAGGGAAGAAAAUGACGGUACCUGACUAAGAAGCCCCGGCUAACUACGUGCCAGCAGCCGCGGUAGUACGUAUGGUGCAAGCGUUAUCCGGAUUUGCUGGGUGUAAAGGGAGCGCAGGCGGUGCGGCAAGUCUGAUGUGAAAGCCCGGGGCUCAACCCCGGGACUGCAUUGGAAACUACCGAACUAGAGUGUCGGAGAGG
rnacentral:rRNA from 1 species